AAUUGAUGAUUUGUCUCUGCUGAUUUAUCUAUCGUCGUCGUCCAUUGAAGAUCACCACCGCCCACCGGCUCCUCCAGAACCUCCGCCGCCACCAUUUUUGUCUGGAUGAUGGUCCACAGAUAGUUAUCUUUUUUGAUCCCUCAUCUCUUGAUUAAUUUGUUUGAUUUUUAAUUCCAUAUAUAUAUAUAUAUAUAUAUAUAUAUAUAUAUAUAUAUAUAUAUAUAUUAUAGAUGUUAUAUGAUUUGCAUGCUUGGUUCAUCGCGUCCUUGAUCUAAAUUAUUUAUUGCUAUUUACCGAUGAAAGUUAGGUUUUUAUGAAACUAUUAAAAUGAUGAUUUUCGUGUUUUUACUCGUAUUUAGAUUUUCAGAUCUUAAUAACUGAAUUUGGUAAGUAAUUUCGGAUUUGUAUUUACUGAAUGUGAAUUAUAUAUUGUAUCUAACGAUCAAGUGCUAUAGUUUUGGAUGAUAAAUGUGUAAUGCAUUGCCCUUUUAGGAACUUAUGAAACCCAAAAAACAAUAAUUUUUGAUUUGAUGCAUCUUUUGGGGAGUCGAUAUGAGAUCAUGAUUGGGAUGGUUAAAAAUAAGAAUUUAUGCCCGGGAUCUUGUUUGAAUAUUCUAUUUGGAUUUUCCAGUGAAUGCAUGUAAACACGGAACAUUUAUUUUAUCAUCAUCAUUAAAUGUAGAAGGGAUUUUAUCCUUUUAUCGCACUUGCAGCCACAAAUUUGUAACUAGGCACCUAAAUGUUAUUUUUUUUUUAAAUUUACCGAUUUCCUUGUCUUUAAUUACGUAAACGUUUUCUUAUGAAUGAAGUUUACGAAAUCUCACUAUUUGUUUCUUUUUUUGACAGAUAUACGGUAUCGAAAAAAAAUUUAUAAAGUCUAUUCUUGACCAAUCGAUGAAGUUUUGGUAGAGGAGAGUGUCGAGAAAUAUUCUUGCCAGCGGCACAACAAUGGUAAUACAAACUUCCAAUGGCGGAACUAUUAAGGGGCAAGGGGGGGCUGUGGACCCCCCAAGAUUAAAAAAUAAAAAAUAAAAAAUUGGUAUUGUUUUGAAUAUUACUUUUGGCUCCCCUAAAGUUUUUGUAAAUAUGUGUUUUAAUCCUUAAUUUUUUUUGUUUUUUCUAAUAUAUAUAUAUAUAUAUAUAUAUAUAUAUAUAUAUAUAUAUAUAUAUAUAUAAUUAUGAAUAUUAAAAUAAAAUGGUUAAAACUUCUAUUAUUUUAAAUAAAAUUUAUGAAUAUUUACUUAUUUUUGAAUGAUUUUGUAACACCUCGCCCUUCCAAAACCCGAAAACCCUAAAACCCGAGAACAAUACUCCUAACUCAAGAAUCCUUUAGGUAAUAUUAUUACGUGAUAUUAAUUAUGUGUUUUACGUGAAUCUAAUUAUGUGACUUACGUGAAUAAUUGCAUGCGUUAUUUAAUCAUUUGGAAUGUGGCGAUUUCAUUUUUUUGUGAAAUUCGUGAGUAAAUAUACAUGUGUGAAUUAGUAUCAUUUCCGUAAGUUAAAACUCUAGGAAUUUCGUGAAUUUCGUGACUUAUGGGCAUAAUUACAUGUCUUGAUUAUUUGGUGGAUUAUUUUCGAAUUAUGGUAUCUAAUGUGAAAUUAUUAAUAUAGUAUAUUAUAUACGUACAUACAUGCACAUGCAUAUACAUACCUAUACAUGUACUACUACAUGCAAUAUAUAUAUAUAUAUAUAUAUAUAUAUAUAUAUAUAUAUAUAUAUAUAUAUAUAUAUAUAUAUAUGUUUGAGUAUAUGACCGAAGGUGUGUGUAUGAGUGUGUGUCCGGAUUGUGUGUGUGUGUGUGGUGUAUUUAUGCAAGUUGUGUUUACUUUUAAAUAAAAUAAUUAGUAAGUAAGUGUGCAUGUCUUUACACUUGGCACACCCUAAUCAUUUCUAUAAUCCCACACCCAAAGUAACCCAAAAGACACUCUCAUUUCUCCUUCUUCUUCCACAUACACCUAUUGCUUGUCUUCUCCAUUUCUCUCCACCGAAGCAAUCACCACCAUCAUCGGCCUUCUCCUUCUUCCACCUCACCUCUCAUUGUCAAGAAAACCCCAAAAAUAAGAUGAAGGUUCCCUAUUUAACCCUUGCCAUAGACUACUCCAAAAACACCAUCAAAACCACUUGCCUCCUUUCGGUAGAUCACAACUCGUCCCUCCUUGAAGCUCACACCAUCUCAUUCACAAUCAAGGUAGCUUGGUUAGAUUUUGGUGCUUGAAAGCCUCUCUUCUUUCGGUUGCUUUCUUCUCUUCGAUUUUAAGGUAAGAAAUUCCGAUUUCUUGCUACAAUUAAAUGGCAUCAAUAGUAUUAAAAUGGUUUUCAGAAUUUCUUAAAAGAUUGGGAGUGAUUUCGAAAAUUUAGGGCUUUUUGGGAAAAAAUGGAAAAGAAGUGUUUCUUGUAAAUUUCUAGUUCUUGCAUGCAUCAUCUAUGUUGGUAGUGAGUAGAUACAAGUUUUAUUGGCCAAAAGCAUUGAAAAUUUCGGAUUACAAAAAGGGGUUUCAAGAAAAAUGAAUUUUUGAACUUUUAUGUAGUUGCAUGUGUAAAUCUAUAGAUUUUUGGGUCAAAUUUGUAAUUUUUGAGAAGUCAGUCCUAAAUGUUUUGUUUCAAAACUGUUUUCCAGCAUUUAUUGAACAAAAAUUUCUGAUUUAAAGAAGUUUUGCAAGAAAAAAAAAUGAUUUUUGAACUUCUAAUGGUCUUGCAUGUGUAGAUCUAGAGAUUUUGGGGUAAAAUAUGUAAUUUUUGAAAUUUCUGCAUAAAGUAACUUUUCAACUUCGAUUUCUGCAAUCUAAUAGAGUAAAAUUUCAGAUUGUUAAGGGUUUUUCAUGAAGAAGUGGAUUUUGAACUUUUAGUGUGAUUGCAUGUGUAAAUCUUGAAACUUUUUGGGUCAAAACUGCAAUUUCCAAAAAAUCUCUCAUUUUUAAAGUUUGGAUCUGUUUUCCAGCAAGUAUUAAAUGGGGAAAAAGUUUUCUUUGCAAAGUUUUCAAAGUAAUUAAGGUCACAUGAGAGUUUUGGAUUUUUAAAAGAAAAAUGGAAUUUUCUAGUUUUUAAUUUCAAUAAAAUUCGAAACUUUGUGAAAAUUUAAAAUAAUUUCAGAAUCUGAAAUUUGGGUCAGUUAGGAGUUCUAGGAUUUAAUUUGGGAAUGGUUGGAAUUAGUUUGCUAUUAUUUCGAAAUUAGGACAUUUUGCAUGUCAUUUAUUUUGUUUUGUGCCUUUACUUUCAUGUCUUUGAUUAAAUAACUAUGAGUGAUGAGAAUUGAGAUUUUGUACUUUUAAUUGCUGCCUGGAUGUGGAUUAAUUGCUGUGAGAAUUUAUUGGAAUGAAUUAUUACCUAGAAGUGGUAAUAAGUACGUUAAAUGAAAGAUGAGAAAGGGGUGCAUGGUUUGAAUGUUAAAUGGUGAUGUUUUAAUGUGUUGGCUGCAUGUGUGUGUCCUGAUUGUGCAUGUGGUGUGUGCCGUGUGUGGUUGUGUGUUAUAUGUGUGAAUUUGGGGAUUUUUGCCCAAACUAUAACUAUGUGGUGAAUUGUGAUAUUUGUGGCACUUGAUUGAUAUUUGUGAUGUUACGUGUGGGUCAUAAGCAUAAUUUUGAAAAGAUGCAUUUCACGGUUUUUUAAAUUGGAAGAUUAAUGGAAUACCGGGUAAUAAACAACUCGGAUAUAGAGGGCCGGUAUCCAACUAGGAUGAAAUGAUGUGGUUUGAUCCCACUUAGUGAAAACGGGCUCGUAACAAGUUUAUUAUUCUGGUACAUAAAUUAAUCUUUCACGGAUCCGAUAAAACGAAAAAUGUGUUUUUCACGAUUUUCAUAAAAAGGGCAUUUUAGACAUUUUGCAUAAGUACGUGAUCAUGUGCGAUUAUAUGUUUUCGUGAGUUAUGUGAUUGUACCGAUUGUCUUGUGUUGUUUUGGAAUGUGGGUAAGAAUGGAUAUAUAAUAUUAUAUAUUAUGUAUAACGUAUUUUCAAAGUUCGAUAUUUCAUCGGAUUUCUUACUGAGCUUUAUAGCUCAUAUAGAUGUCUUUUAAUUGCAGGUAAUAGUGCUAGUAACCCUCAACCGGGAUGGAUCGAGUAGCGGAUCGAGGUCUUGCCCGGGUUUUUGUUGGAAGUUGUACGAGGACCUAUGAACGAUGCUAAAGUCUUUUGGUUAUUUUCUUUUGGUGAUGUAAUAUUAAACCUCCGUAUUUUUCCUUUUCGUUUCUUUUGAACUCAAAAACCGGUAUGGAUCAUACUCAAGUUUUAUUAUAAAAUAGUCCGUUUAUUAAUUUCGUCAUUCCCACGCCUCAAUUAGUAAUUUUGGAAUUAUUCACCAAAAUACCCUUUCCAAACUCUGAUUUCGUUUCGAACCAAAAAC
rnacentral:lncRNA from 1 species